rnacentral:sRNA from 1 species
ACGCCGAAAAAUAAUUAGUUUGGGUUAAUCGUAUGACCGCGGUGGCGGGCAUGAAAA